UUAAUAAAUCAUCAUCAAUAGUAUUUAAACUUACCGAGCAUUGUGGAUCUAUGUUUUGAGUCUUCGAGUCUUCGAUCUUUGUCCCUUCUUCUUUAAUCCUUCAAGACUCCGACUUACUUCACGAAAUAUGUCAACUUAAAAUCCGUAACAAUCUCCCCCUUUGACAAUUUCGUGACAAAAGCAAAAAAUAAAUCAAAAUACACACAACGCUCAACUCUCCAAAAAAAAAAACUUAAAAUUCGUUGCCAUUACCAAAACAAUGAACUUCUCGCAUGAAAGAUCAAAAAAAAAAUACAAAAUUAUAAUUUGUAACUCCUAAACAAACUCUAUGACUUAAACAUAAGGAGCCUUGAAGUCUUCAAAAUCUGAAAAA
rnacentral:lncRNA from 1 species